AAGCGAUGCCUCCACAGGCUCAGACCAAGAGGCCAGCUUCCCAGACACGUCGCUCCACUUGGCGGUUUAACAGACAACGACAAAACAAAAAAAAGACCAAGCACCCUGUGUGCGUGUUUGUGUGUAUGUGAAAGCUGAAGAAAUAAACCGAGGUCGCUACAUCUCUUUGCUGCUGCCUGCUGGCAGUCUCACUAGGCCGUCUGCAUGUUUCACAAAUAGAGUGUGGAGCAGUGGAGGCUUCUAUAAGACUACAGGUGAAGCAGUGCUUCACCAAAAAAAUGUUAAAAAAUAAAUAAACCAAAAAUCUUACAACAAUCCCAUUUUCAGUGCUUUGAAACAGAAAUACUCACGAAGACGAGCUGUUUUCCUGAAAUCAAUUAUGUGAGUCACAACAGCGCCACUAUUCCCAUUGACUUCAAUGUAAAUCGAGUGAACCCCAGGCGGCUCGUGUUUAUUUUCCGUUUCAAUUGAUCCUUAUGGCAGAUAAGUCCCACCCGUGAACCAGUGACCGAUAGGGUAGAAUUUUGCACUUCAGUCACUUGACACAACACUCUGGCCAGUCACCGCCUUCAUUGGACAGCUAUCGUGAACUGACUACGAGUGAAAGCAGAGGGCAGACCAAAACCUACUGUGAAAACCACACAGCUCGUUGGUGCUACGGUAAGGAGCAUUUUAAAUUGCUCCAUGUAUGACAAGGUAAACUGGCUAACAGGGAGUUGGCUGAAAAAACGCCUUUACUGUUGGCCCCGUGUCAUGUUUAAAGCAUGCAAUUGUGGUGUAGAACAAAAUAAAAAGAAAACAAAGUGCUUGCAUGAUAUCGAGUUCCUGAACCCACGUGACCACCGGUGUUCGGAACGCCAUUUUGUCAGUAAAAUCAAGCGCCGCCCUUAAAGAGCUUCCUUAAAAUGACCCGGCGCCGAAGCUUUCAAGCCAUCGGAGUACUCAUCUCACUUUAAUUCGCAUGACAUCGAGCUCUAUAGGCAAAAAUUAAAUAGGUUAAAUAUUACCGACCCAUACAAUGGCCCCGGGGUGCUUUUCAAAAGCAUCUCCGCUGAAGAAGACGUCCCAGAUCUGCAGUAUCCGGAUAGAUAUAACUACCUUCAGAGCAGCCACAAAGACAGACGUCAGAAAGCCUGCAGUGUCUCUAAUAAGACAAAUAUGCUACCCAAAAGUCCCAUAGUUUCACCAGUGAGGCUACCAGUUGGGGAUGUCAACACGAGGACUUGGCAAGGAAAUACUAUGAAAUGCGUCAUCGCCUCUCACACACGAAUGUCAUGGUAGGAACAGCUGGAUUCAGGAUUUCACCCCUGCAUUGGGGCCUCACCUGAUGGAUACGUUUCCUGUAGCUGCUGUGGUUCAGGUGUCAUAGAAAUUAAGUGCCCAUUUUCUGCAAAGGACCUUUCUGUUAAUUAGGCAGUAAAGUGUUUUUCUGCACAGAAACCAGCACCAGCAGCAGCAGCAUUUGCUGAUCAUAGUCAACAACAGUGGUGCUACUGCCCUGAGCCAGAAGCAGGGAACAUGGUGGUCUGUGCGUCAGGUUUUUGUUCAGUUAAAAAGUUUCACCAGACCUGCCUUCGCAUGAAAAGGGUCCCAAAACAGUGGGUAUGUCCCAUCUGCCGAAAAGUGAUCAAUGCCCAAAGAAGAAAACCUUAGUGAGGAGACUGUGAAAUGAGUUGUUUGUAGUAGCUGAUACUGUACUGUUAUUUAUGAAUAAACAGUUGUUAAACCAAUAUUGUUCUCUUCCCCAUAAUUUGUAUUAGAUAUCUGUAGCAAUCAGGGAUAUGAAACAUGGGUGGGUCAUUCAUAUAAAACACACCAGAACAAAUAUCUGUUUGGGUGGAACUCAAGUUAGAAUGGGUGGAUGUGCAGCUUGAUCUGCAAAGAGAAACGAUGUGAUCGCAUCAGAAUAGCGAGUGAUUAAAAAUAAUGUCACGACAAGCAAGCAAGAAGUGUGAGUCACAAAGGUUUAUUUGCUGGUUGAGCACAUCUGUAGCCAGUCACAUCAGUUCAAUUUACUGUAAAUCCCCAUCACUGGAAGGACACCACAGAUUCAGACACAUUUGUAAGUGCACAACACACGCUCACCAUCUUGUCAAGGUAGGCCACAUCAUUUUCCCUGUCUAUGUCCGUGAAACAUAUGGGGACAGUGCUUUGCAAGACUGUGUACUUUUGACGGAGAACUCCUAUCACUCUUUCAAUAUGUAUCCUAAGAGAGGCUAGACGUCUGGUGUUCUCCAAGUCAGCAGGAUCUAACUGCUUCUAUCCACGAGUAAAUGCUGGAAUUUUUAAUUCAGCUUGGCAUCUCUCAAUGGACUCUUUAACCAGACAACCUCUGUCCGCUAAAACUACGUCCCCUGGGAGCAAAUGAGAUAAAAAGUGACUUUGUUCUGUGAUAAACGUAUCACUUGUGCGACCUCCCCAUCCAGCGGAAAUGAAACAAAUGGAACCUCGAGGGCAAAUUGCAAUUCAAUAUUUCAUUGUGUGGUGUGAUUUGUAUGAUGAGUAACACUGAGCACUGGCUAGCAAUCUACUGGGUUUCUCUAGAAAUAUUUCAAAACAAUCUAUAAUGCAAACUGUCUUUUCAAAGCUACGGUUUCGAAAUGCAUAUGGAAGAGAUUUUCUUAAGUAUUCUCUGUCAGGCCACAACACCAGACUUGGCACCAGUCUACAAUGCAUCACACUAAUGCAGUGUUUGAAGAGCUUUGAAACAGUGGUUGAGUCAAUGUCAAAAUAAAAAGCCAAAAACUCAAAGGACAAGUUCAUUCUAAGCUUAAUUAAAGUUAACAUGUACUGCUGAAAACAUGUUAAACUAGAUUUAAGUGGGAGAAAAGGAGCCACAAUAUGAAAAAUUGUCAUGAGAAUGGAGAAUGCUGAUAAACCAGUGAGAGUAUGAACCCUUUUAUCAUCGUUAUGCAAGCUCAUCUCAUUCAGUGUAGUCCUAUUCAUUUUUUCCUUCAACAACAUAUUUUCAGUCCUCAGAGCUUGGCAUUCUUGCUCAAGAGAUUGGACGCGUUUACCACAGGUUUCAGUGGUGCAUGGUGGGGUUGCUGGAUCCUCCUCAUGGAGAACAGGCUGGACAUCGUUUCCAGGUUCUUCAUGGGUAGAUUCCUUCAAAGGCUCUGUGGUGGGACUUUGCUCUGCAGUAGGAUCCUUGUUGCAGUCUUGGGGACAAUCUGUUGAUGCUCUGGUGAAAACAAAAGUAGUAUAAACUGUCACUACUGAUGACAGUUUGUCAUUCUUUUGUCAGUCACUCUCUGUUUUCUGCAGUAUACUAGCUUUCGUUAGUAAGAAAGUAAGUAAAUUGUAUUUGUAUAGCACAUUUACAUCCAAAAGUGCUUUAUAGUCGGUAUAUGAUAAAUAAACAAUGUAAUAAAAUAAAUGAAUAGAAAGACAAUGACAGGGAUAUUGACAAUGACAGUGACAAUCACAUGCAUAGUCAGUGGCUGCCAAAUGCAAGUCGGUAUAGGUGUGUGAUGAUUUCAGCCCAGUCACAGAUGUUAUGUUUUUUAGCUCAUUGGGUGUUAUUAAACCUACAAUGAAUUGUACAAAAAAAAAAUUGGUUUAUAAUUUUCCCAAGUCCAUGGAAGUGGGGUUGACCAGGUUAAGGAACUUAAAUAUUCACCUGGGAGGGAUGGCUUUCGCAGAUAGCUUUGUCUGCUCCAUCUUCUGUAGCUUUGCUCCCUGUCGUCUGUUGAAAACCUCCAGUCUCAUUUUUCUUUUCCUCUUCUCUGGAGAUGGAACGUAGUUGAAAAGAGAUGGAACAAAGUCCGGACUCAAGGGAUUAUCACUCCUUCUCCCUACAAAAUAAAUAGAAACAUUUCAGCGUCGAACUUGGGUUUGUUUACUACUACGUUAGCACUUGCUAGCUUAGCAGCAUAAAAAACAGGACAUUGUCAGCCCCACGAAUUGCAUGCUAUAAAUCAACUAGCUAUGUGUGUGUGUGUGUGUGUGUGUGUGUGUGUGUGUGUGUGUGUGUGUGUGUGUGUGUGUGUGUGUGUGUGUGUGUGUGUGUGUGUGUGUGUGUGUGUGUGUGUGUGUGUGUGUGUGUGUGUGUGUGUGUGUGUGUGUGGUGAGGGGGUACUUACAGGGGGGCCGGGAAGUCCAGGUUGGCCUUUCAUUCCCAUCAUUCCCUGGAGAUAGAGGAAAGAAAUCAAAGGUCAAACAACAGCAAUGUCCAACACCAGUGGCUGUGCAUGUUGUGGGCUGUGAGUAAGAUAUGCCGCUGAGGACAGAAUGCUAUACAACAGAAAGGGUUUUGUGUUAUAAAACCACACUUACAGUAGUCCAGAAAUGUGUGGAAGUAUUUCUUUGACGAUGAGUCCAUUGACUGGACUGAAAGCUAAGGUGAGAAUGCAUGCCAUAAAGUGGCAUAAAUCCCAGAACUCCAUGGGAAUAAUCCAUGGAUUGGGAAUGACAGUGAACACUGUAGCGGAAACCUAUUUGACAGGUGUGCUCUGACAUGGAAAGGUCUUCAGACUUCGAUGGGUUCUUAGUGGUAGUUCUGUGUGGUGAUGUGUAUGUGUGAAUACAUAGUGUUAUUGUUGGAGAGUUACCACAAAACUGCAGGUGUGUGUGUCUCAGAGUUUGUGCAUGUGUGUGUGUGUGUGUGUGUGUGUGUGUGUGUGUGUGUGUGUGUGUGUGUGUGUGUGUGUGUGUGUGUGUGUGUGUGUGUGUGUGUGUGUGUGUGUGUGUGUCUGAGUUUGUAUGUGUGGGUGUGUGUGUGUGUGUCUGAGUUUGUAUGUGUGUGUGUGUGUGUGUGUGUGUGUGUGUGUGUGUGUGUGUGUGUGUGUGUGUGUGUGUGUGUGUGUGUGUGUGUGUGUGUGUGUGUGUGUGUGUGUGUGUGUGUGUGUGUGUGUGUGUGUGUGUGUUCACCAUGGGGCCGGGACCAAUAUCAGCGCCUUUGUUGUGAUCAUACUGAGCAGCAAAGUUCUGUUGGAGUGAAAAAUAAAAACCAGAAUAAGAGACAAAAUAUACAUAUAAAAAUUCAUACAAUACAAUAUACUUAUUUUCUAAAUCAUAGGUUAUUGUCUGUUCCAUUGCUAUAAUUGUGCCAGAAUUUGGGUCAGGUGAGUUUAAGGGCUUGAUCGUUUAUCAAACAGAUGAACAGCAAAUCAGCAUCUUCCUGUAGCUUCUAUACCUUACGGUUACAAUAGGAUAUACCAGCCGGUUAACCUUAUUUACUGAGAGGCCUUCAUCAACAUUCAGUUCCCCCACCUAGGAACACUUUAGAACCAACAUCCAUCUUCAGUUCCCCCACCCAGCAGCAUUUUAGAACCAACAUCCACCUUCAGUCCCCCACACAGUCACAUUUUAGAACCAACAUCCACCUUCAGUCCCCCCACCCAGCAGUUGACCAAGUCGGCCCCUAUAGGAUACUUACUCUGCCGAGGCCAGGGGGUCCUGGGGGCCCAGCAGGGCCGGGGUUGCCAGGUCUGCCGUCCCUCCCGUCAGGGCCCUGGGGUCCCUGUGGAGGAAGGCCUUGGGUUAGUCUCCGUUGAUUACCACUGAUUGACACACAGCCACCGUGUCUGCUGGGACGCUGCCAGAGUCCCAGCUCUGUUCGGCUGUGGAGCUCGGUUUGGUCUCAACUUGAAUAAAAGCGUCAUGUCCUUUUACUAAAUUGUUUUAUUAUUGUUAAUAAAGUUUAGAAAAGAUAAAUAUGAAUUUGUUCUGGAUAUGUGAGCCAAAGUCAGAAAAAAAUAAUAUACAACAAAUAUUUGUAGUUCAGGUUAUUUUCAGCCGUCGUGCAGCAGAGAUUGGUCCAUUAUUAUUUGUUAUAUUAUCACGGCGGAGGGCUUUAGGCUGUGCCUGAUGUAAACAAAGGGGUGUGGCCUAUUCAAGUUGAAAGGUCAAUCGGCGUCAUCAUAUAUCAACCCGAUAAACUUCAUGAAAGUUUCUAUCCAGCAAACAUGGCAUUGUCAUGCAUCUUGUCAUAAUUAAUGAGUUUGAUAGUGGCUUACCCUUUCACCUCUUGGUCCUUUCGGGCCCUGAGGAAUAUAAGUAAACAAUUGAUGAGUCAGAGGCAGACAUUAUUUAAACAGUGAGGCAAGUUCACGUAAAAAAAGGAAGGUAGACUUAAACUUAACAUAUCUAAAAUCUAAAACCUAAAAGAAGCUCGGCUACAAUCGCUGGGGGAUGAAUAGGUGCAUGUGGACAAACUGUGCAUGUGAACUGCACAGCCAAAGCACCAUUCAGGUGGGAACAUAUUUCAGUCCUCUUCAUUGAACCUGGCCUUUGGCUAGAGCUGAUGCCUACAAUGUCUGCCCUGAGCUAUGCUACGCAUUAUCACAUACACCACACUCAAAGGGCUAAAUGACACAUCCAACCAGGGUUUGAUUGCUCACUUUGAAUCUUCCCUGAGUAGAAAUAGAAGCUAAAUAAAUAGUGUUAUUUAUUUCUUUGUGUCAUUUAACUGUGCUGGCUGUAUCAUGCACUGUUCAGCAUUGCUGUUCAUCUAUCUCAUUGCACAUCAACCCAUUAACAUGCAGGGGAUUUAUGAUGCUGUACAUGUCCAUGCAGAAGCACA